ACAAAUUUUUGUUCUCCUUGAUUUUCUUCUUCAUUUUCACGGCACUGACUCAAAAUGAAAAAAAAAAUCCAUUCUUCUAUUUUACUCAAGAAUUGUAAACAUCCUUUCAAGCCUUUCAAGUCUAGUGGGUGUUUGUAUUAUGAUGAUGAUGAUAGAAGAGGGUUUGAACAUUGAGGCUUAAAGAAAUUGGAAGAUAUAAGCUUUAAUAGUAAUUGGUUAUGGUUGAUGAAGGAUGAGAGCGGGGCUAUAAUAUUGAGCAAAUGUGUUAGAUUGAUUUCAAGGAGAAAGUUUGAAUUUGUAAUAAAUUAUUUAGACUCCUUUGGAUUUGGUACAUUUGCGGUUUAAGGGAUAAUAUUUUCCCUAAGAAUUAUUGGAAUUGAGGUUUAAUUUAUUAUACUAUUUUGGUUUAGCCUUA